AACACACACCAGGGUACCCGAUCUGUGCAGUUUUGAAGGUGAGGGAGACCUGAGCUGAAUCACUGAAUAUUUGCCAAUGCAAAUUUGUUAAAUCUGCUGGGAAGCGUUUAGUGUACAUGCUCAAACUUCCAAAUUUGUGCAGAAGAAAGGCUUGUUUGGACUCAUUGCUAAUCUCAGAGCGGUGCUCGCUUCCCUUGUCCGGCUGGCAGCCUUCCCAGGCAGCACAUCCAAGUCCUGAGACAGCAGUCACAGAUCAUGUCACCUCGGGGGAGAGGACCUGUGCACAACGUUCACGAUAGCAAGGGAGGAGAUUGGAACAAGGCUUUCAAGGAACUGAAGAGAAAGGAGGAUUUUGACAGAUUUUACUCCAAGAAGAAAAGAAUUCUUGUAUCAUCAUCAUCAGUACUGCUGAAGAACAUUGCUGGAAAAGCCAUCAAGCCCCGCCAACGUGCUGGAGGUGGGACCAAUGUAAUGUCAGGAUGGAUGCAGUGCAAACUCCUAAUGGUCAACAUGAACUGAAGGUCUUCAGCAUCUUGCCAGGUAUCCCUGCAGUGUUAAUGGUGACAGCACGUUCCAUCCACCUACGUGUUUCUUGUGG
rnacentral:lncRNA from 1 species